GUGAGUGACUUUGACAAGGCACAAAUAGACAUGGCUAGACAACUGGAGUAUCUCCAAAACAUUAAUACUUGUUGGGUGUUCCCAGUAUGUAGUGGUUAAUACCAACUAAAAGUGGUGCAAGGAAGAACAACCAGUGAAUCAGCAUCAGGUCAUGUGCACCGAAGACUCAUUGAUGCACAUGGGGUGCAAAGGUUAGCCUUUCAGCAUGAUCACACAGAAGACCUGCUGUAGCCCAAAAUUCUGAUCAAUGUAAUGCUGACCAUGAUAUAAAGGUGUCAGAACAUACAGUGCAUCAAAGUUUGCUACGUACAGGCUUGGGUAGCUCAGAUGGAUGGCCAGGUGCGUGUGUGUUGCUUACCUGGGGAGGAG